AUUGAACGCUGGCGGCAUGCCUUACACAUGCAAGUCGAACGGCAGCAUGGAGAGCUUGCUCUCUGAUGGCGAGUGGCGAACGGGUGAGUAAUGCAUCGGAACGUACCGUGUAAUGGGGGAUAACGUAGCGAAAGUUACGCUAAUACCGCAUACGACCUGAGGGUGAAAGCAGGGGGUCGCAAGACCUUGUGUUAUACGAGUGGCCGAUGUGAGAUUAGCUAGUUGGUGAGGUAAAGGCUCAGCAAGGCGACGAUCUGUAGCGGGUCUGAGAGGAUGAUCAGCCACAAUGGGACAGACACACGGCCCAGAGUCCUACUGGAGGCAGCAGUUGGGAAUUUUGUGCAAUGGGGGCAACCCUGACUCAGACAGGACGCGUGAGUGAAGAAGGCCUUCGGGUUGUAAAGCUCUUUCGGCCGGGAAAAACUCGCACAGGCUAAUACUCUGUGUGGAUGACGGUACCGGCAUAAGAAGCACCCGCUAACUACGUGCCAGCCGCCGCAGUAAUAC
rnacentral:rRNA from 1 species